AUUGAACGCUGGCGGCAGGCCUAACACAUGCAAGUCGAGCGAGCGGCGGACGGGUGAGUAAUGUAUGGGGACUGCCCGAUAGAGGGGGUUAACUCCUGGAAACGGUAGCUAAUACCCCAUACUAUCGGAUAACCCAUAUGGGAUUAGCUAGUAGGUGAGGUAAUGGCUCACCUAGGCGCCGAACCCUAGCUGGUCUGAGAGGAUGAUCAGCCACACUGGGACGGAGACACGGCCCAGACUCCUACGGAGGAAGCAGUGGGGAAUAUUGCACAAUGGGCGAAAGCCUGAUGCAGCCAUGCCGCGUGUAUGAAGAAGGCCCUAGGGUUGUAAAGGACUUUCAGUCGGGAGGCGUUACCGACAGAAGAAGCACCGGCUAACUCCGGGCCAGCAGCCGCGGUAAUUC
rnacentral:rRNA from 1 species